rnacentral:lncRNA from 1 species
GCUAGAUAUGCAGCUACUAGUAGAAGAGGAUAUGAGAAUAUCUUGCUUGCACGAUUUGUGUGUAUGGUGAUAUAAUUUCUGUUAUUUUAUCCUUCCAUUGUACAUUGAACUUACUGACUUAUUCUUGGCAUUGCAAGAAGGGUAGUGAAGGGGCAUAAGCUAAAUAAUAUUUAGAUAGCUUGUGUAACACAGGAUAUCAUAAUAUGAAAAGAAGCCCAUGUUUCUCUCUGGAAUUGAAGUCACAAGAUGGAAAAUUAUUCAUAAUUGCAAUCAUAACAUACCAUACAAUAGAGAGUUUCCUGCCAAGGAAACUUUGAUUUCAAAGACCUUACGCAAGUCGCAUGUAGUCGUGACUUUUUUUUUUUUUGCAAGAAGCUCCUGCCAGCCUUCAAACUCAACACAACCCAGGUCAGCUCAGGGAUGGAAGGGACUUGAUUGGCAUAAAAUAAUUCCUCAGACAAAGGACUGAGUGUAUAGCUUCAAUGGGAACACUGUGCAUCUAGGUCUUUAUAAGGAAGGUUGCCCUGGGCUCGUCCAACACAGGUGAUAUCCACAUCAUGGGUACUACCAAGAUUUUCCUGCUCCUUCUCUCAGUGGCCCUGUUGGCCCUGAGCUCAGCUCAAGGAACACCCAAGGAAGCCCCAAGACAGCAACCUGCUGAACCUGAACCAGCCCCAAGGCAACAAACUAGGAAAAGUAAAGGAGAACCAGGCGAACCACCUGAAGGAGAACCAGGUCCACCACCUGAAGGAAGGAGCCAUCUCAGACCUAGCCACAAGCCUACUCACGCCAAUAUCUUCAAGGAGAGAAGAGAAGAAGAAAUAGGAGAACCAGGCGAACCACCUGAAGGAGAACCAGGUGCACCACCUGAAGGUAAGUAAUAUGUCUAUCUCUAAACACUCCUUUCUUUCCCCGUUCCUUGAGGACCCUAGACCUUGUCUCUCAUUUGAAACCAUUUGGCACAUCCACUCUUAAAGUUCAGUACCAAGAAAGAGAGGGUAAUAAUGAACUAAGAGGGUGGUCAGCUUAAAAGGCUUUGUUUUCUCUUGCCAUUGCAUAGCUCUCAUAUUUCCACCAGAGAUUUUUCCAGAUCAAAAAUUCAAAAUUAUUUUGCCAUCUUUUCCCAAAGCAUAGUUUGCUUUUUUCCAUUGCCUAAUAUCCUAGAUCAAACAUUUCAAGAUCACUUUGUAAUAUUUAAUGCAAUGUUCUCUUCAUG